CAAAUGAAUGCUGUCUGUACCAAAAAGGCUGGGAAGCCAUGGGUUAGUUCCUCACUGAAGGUCAUGCAGCUUGCAAAUAGCAUGUAGAGCUGGGAUUUGUGCUGGGAAGACCGUUGGGCUGAAGAAGAGCGGUAAAUUCCUGGUUCUACAACUUUCCUGGAGUCCACUUUCCUCUUCUGUGGAAUGAAAAGAUAAAGAAUGAUCCAAGUGUGCGGGGGGACCUUCAAGAUGCUGGAGGAGUAAGACGUGGAGAUCACCUUCCUCCUAACAAAUACAUCAGAAAUACAUCUACAUGUGGAACAACUCCUACAGAACACCUACUGAAC